GUUUGCGGCGGGCUUAACACAUGCAAGUCGAACGAGAAUCCCUUCGGGGAGGAAAGUGGCGCACGGGUGCGUAACACGUGGAUGACCUACCCCUUGGUUCGGGACAACAGCGGGAAACUGCUGCUAAUACCGGAUGUGUCGUAGCAAUACGAGAAAGGCCCGCAAGGGUCGCCAGAGGACGGGUCCGCGUCCCAUCAGCUAGUUGGUGAGGUAAUGGCUCACCAAGGCGAAGACGGGUAGCUGGUCUGAGAGGAUGAUCAGCCACACUGGAACUGAGACACGGUCCAGACUCCUACGGGAGGCAGCAGUGGGGAAUAUUGCGCAAUGGGCGAAAGCCUGACGCAGCCACGCCGCGUGAGCGAUGAAGGUCUUCGGAUCGUAAAGCUCUGUGGGGGGAGAAGAAGAAAGUCGGUGAAGAGCCGGCCCUGACGGUAUCCCCUUAGCAAGCACCGGCUAACUCCGUGCCAGCAGCCGCGGUAAUACGGA
rnacentral:rRNA from 1 species